rnacentral:rRNA from 1 species
CUGACGGAGCACGCCGCGUGAGUGAUGAAGGUUUUCGGAUCGUAAAGCUCUGUUGUUAGGGAAGAACAAGUGCGAGAGUAACUGCUCGCACCUUGACGGUACCUAACCAGAAAGCCACGGCUAACUACGUGCCAGCAGCCGCGGUAAUACGUAGGUGGCAAGCGUUGUCCGGAAUUAUUGGGCGUAAAGGGCUCGCAGGCGGUUUCUUAAGUCUGAUGUGAAAGCCCCCGGCUCAACCGGGGAGGGUCAUUGGAAACUGGGAAACUUGAGUGCAGAAGAGGAGAGUGGAAUUCCACGUGUAGCGGUGAAAUGCGUAGAGAUGUGGAGGAACACCAGUGGCGAAGGCGACUCUCUGGUCUGUAACUGACGCUGAGGAGCGAAAGCGUGGGGAGCGAACAGGAUUAGAUACCCUGGUAGUCCACGCCGUAAACGAUGAGUGCUAAGUGUUAGGGGGUUUCCGCCCCUUAGUGCUGCAGCUAACGCAUUAAGCACUCCGCCUGGGGAGUACGGUCGCAAGACUGAAACUCAAAGGAAUUGACGGGGGCCCGCACAAGCGGUGGAGCAUGUGGUUUAAUUCGAAGCAACGCGAAGAACCUUACCAGGUCUUGACAUCCUCUGACAACCCUAGAGAUAGGGCUUUCCCUUCGGGGACAGAGUGACAGGUGGUGCAUGGUUGUCGUCAGCUCGUGUCGUGAGAUGUUGGGUUAAGUCCCGCAACGAGCGCAACCCUUGAUCUUAGUUGCCAGCAUUCAGUUGGGCACUCUAAGGUGACUGCCGGUGACAAACCGGAGGAAGGUGGGGAUGACGUCAAAUCAUCAUGCCCCUUAUGACCUGGGCUACACACGUGCUACAAUGGACAGAACAAAGGGCUGCAAGACCGCAAGGUUUAGCCAAUCCCAUAAAUCUGUUCUCAGUUCGGAUCGCAGUCUGCAACUCGACUGCGUGAAGCUGGAAUCGCUAGUAAUCGCGGAUCAGCAUGCCGCGGUGAAUACGUUCCCGGGCCUUGUACACACCGCCCGUCACACCACGAGAGUUUGCAACACCCGAAGUCGGUGAGGUAAC